UACCCUUUUAGUAUGCACACCAUUGUACAAUUGACUUCCAAUCAAUUAGACUCGAUAUUUUUUCGAGAAAGGGUAA
rnacentral:tRNA from 1 species